CCCGGUGAUUAUAGCGAGGAGGAAACACACGUUCCCAUUCCGAACACGAUCGUUAAGCUCCUCAGCGGCGAUGGUACUAUGGCGUUGGCCAUGGGAGAGUAGCACGUCGCCGGGA
rnacentral:rRNA from 1 species